GCCGGGGUAGCUCAGUCGGUAGAGCAGUGGACUGAAAAUCCGCGUGUCGGCGGUUCAAUUCCGUCCCCCGGCACCA
rnacentral:tRNA from 1 species